ensembl:lncRNA
CUUUGGCCUUGGUUACCAAGCAGCUGGGUAGGCUGCUGCCCACUGGGAUUCGCUUUUGCCCAUGGCAGCAUAAAGCCUAACCUACAACAAGCCCCGGCAAAUCUACCUUAUUUACAAGCUAGGUAGACAAGGCACUGGAGCAUCCCUCCUCUCAAGAAAAUCUGGGUCUAGUCCUUCUGAUAUCAUUUUGUCUCUUAUUGCCAUCACUGGAUCACCCACUUGAAGCAUUUUGAGAUAUCUGGCAUAUCUUGGACCCUUGGCUACAGUUAAGUCCUCAUGUUGAAAAGAAUAAAAUGGAGAUGAUUCACCCCAGAAUAGGCAGGUCAUCUGACCAAGAGGAAGCAUCACCAUCUGCUACGAAGACCUGUCCUAAAUCUUUUGCAUCUCCUCUAAGGUGUAAAGACGUUUGUCUUUUCCAUCGGACUUCUCCGGUGUCCUCACUCAAGCCUUCCUGACACAGACCCUUGCUUCCUGAUUCCACAUUCACACAAAUCGACUGGUACUGUGUUUCAUGACUUGGAAGAAUUUUUCUCUUUUUAAUGAGGAUGCACUCAGGAUAAGAUCUGCAACAGCAGCAGUUUUAGAAUUAAUCAUUCUGCUUGUUCGUGUUUAAAGCUCAAGUUAAUAACUCCUUCAAAAUAAAUGUCA